rnacentral:lncRNA from 1 species
AUGCAGCAGGCCUGCACUUUGGGGGAACUGCAGUGGCUGAACAGAAGAUGGACCACCGAGGGGAGAGCCCGGAGGCAGGCGGGUCUCCCCACGUCCCUGCAGCGAUCCAGGGGUGAGUCACAGUUCACCAAAGAAAGCUGGAGGGAGCAAAGAAUGGGGGCCAGGAGGGAUGCCUGGGGGAGAGGGAGGAGGAGUACCGGCCAGCCGUGGCCAAGGAACGCAGAUGGCGGUGAGGCCAGAGGAUUUUUGAGGCGAAGAGAGCCUGGGUCACUCAGUAAAGCCCUGCUGAUGGAGCACAGAGCACAAUGGGCAGUGGACAAGCAGAUGCAGCCCUUCCAAGGGGCUCAGCCACCAACUGCUGAAGAGUCUCCAGGCUGCCGUGAGGACUGGCGGCUGCCCCGUGAGUCUAGCUGCUCUCCAGGCCUCGGCCCCCCACCCUCAAAGAGCUCUUCUGAUUCUGUCUUGGGCCAGACAUCCGCCCCUCAGGGUUUGGCGGGGCACUAUCCUCUGAGGAGGCCCCUCAUCUUGGAGGAGGCCUCGUGGCGGGAAGCUGAGCUAGAUUUAUUCUUCUGA